UACGAGGGGGGCUAGCGUUGUUCGGAAUUACUGGGCGUAAAGAGCUCGUAGGUGGUUUGUCGCGUUGUUCGUGAAAACUCACAGCUUAACUGUGGGCGUGCGGGCGAUACGGGCAGACUGGAGUACUGCAGGGGAGACUGGAAUUCCUGGUGUAGCGGUGGAAUGCGCAGAUAUCAGGAGGAACACCGGUGGCGAAGGCGGGUCUCUGGGCAGUAACUGACGCUGAGGAGCGAAAGCGUGGGGAGCGAACAGG
rnacentral:rRNA from 1 species